GGGACGCAGGGUGCUCCACUUACUUGAGCGGCCGCAGCUGCCAGGCUACAAGACUCUGGCGCCGGACACAGCUUCUCCCGCAGGCAGUGAGGGGAUGCAGGCGCUCUGGACGCUACUACUGCGGUUGACUCGGCUGCACCGUGAUGUCCUCUCGGGCCCUGCACGCUCUCAUCAGCAGCUCACAAGUCGCGGGGGGGUCCGAGGAGGGCUACACUCUAGGUCCCGGCUCCACAUGCGCCAGCUGGCGUCAACCGGCAGAGGGAUAGGAGGUCCCUCUCGGCUCCGCGACCACUGCUGGCGGGUGACAGUAACCAAGAUCGUAUUUUCCAUACUUAUAAUGGGAAACACAAUGUGGUUGAAUUUACAAAAAGAAAUUGUGAAAACGUACCGCAGUGAGCCCUGUGAUAAUUAUGCCAGCAACAGGCAGAUUCUGUACUUCUGCACAGCUUUCUACGCCCACAGACUGGCAGCCCUCCAGGAGCACUGAUCACCGAUCCCUACCUAUAACUCUCCCAUCCUGACAAAGAAGGGAAUGUUGCCUGCUCUAUGGACCUGAUUCGGAUUUGGACGCAAGAUAGAAAAAGCACUUAAGUUUGUAUCUGGAACAAACCAUUUUGCAAAGUAAG